UACGUAGGGUGCGAGCGUUGUCCGGAAUUAUUGGGCGUAAAGGGCUCGUAGGCGGUUUGUCGCGUCGGGAGUGAAAACCAUGGGCUUAACUCAUGGCUUGCUUCCGAUACGGGCAGACUAGAGGUAUGCAGGGGAGAACGGAAUUCCUGGUGUAGCGGUGAAAUGCGCAGAUAUCAGGAGGAACACCGGUGGCGAAGGCGGUUCUCUGGGCAUUACCUGACGCUGAGGAGCGAAAAGUGUGGGGGAGCGAACAGG
rnacentral:rRNA from 1 species